rnacentral:snRNA from 1 species
AUACUUAUCUGGCAAGGGAAAUACUGUGAUCAAGAAGGCGGUUCACCCAGAGCGAGGCUCAGCCAUUGCACUCCGGCUGUGCUGACCCCUGCGAAUUUGGGAAAUCUCGAUUGCAGAAUUUCUGGUAGUGGGGGGCUGCGUUCGCGCUCUCCCCUG